UGGGUCUUUGCGGGCGAGAUGAGAAGUUUCUGCCUUCAACUGGCCUACAAAGUCCCAGU
rnacentral:pre_miRNA from 2 species